CUGAGCUGUGCCUCUGGAGUCAAGUCCGACCUCCUACCUCGGAAUGAGUUUGUGAGAGAGACUUCAGGCACAGCAGGCAGAGUCAAUGGGGUGCCAAACUCCUCCUGGCGAUGCUGUGAGAUGCCCGAGGGGACGCCUUGAGUUCUCUGGCUCCCAGGGAGUUGGCUCCGGGCCCCAGAGACACCUGCAAAUGCCCCUUCCUGUCCCAGGCUCAGAAUGAAUUGAGGGAACAAUGAAAAACAAACAAAACAACUAUUUACUUGCUGAAGAGCGAAUAUGUUCACAUGUCCAAAUAAUCAAAAUACUCAAAGGAUAUGCAGUGAGAAAGAAGUCCCCCACCCACCCCGUUCCCCCGCCGUUUCUUGAGUAUUUGAGUAUAUUUUUCCAGAGAUGCCCUAGGCGGGUACGCGGGGAGAUGCACUUGUAUUCUCUUCUCCGCCUUAAACACACCCCGUGAAUGGCGGAGUUUUUUCUUGGAGAAUGGCAGGCAUCAGUACAGAAACAGCUUCCUUGAGCUGCGGUGUAUGGGUGGGUGUUCCAUUGUUAUUUGACGAGGCUGUAAAGGGAAGGGUUGUUUUUUUUCAAAGCAAAGGAAUAGCUUCAUGGAAGCAUCCUUCCUGGAAUCUGGAAUUCGGAGACGAGCUUGAGUCUGAGCUGGGCUACUUACCACUCGGGGACUGCACGUGUUGCUUCCCCCGAGCCUCAGUGUUCUCAUCUGCAAGAUGCUGCUUGUGGCUGGGCACGGUGGCCUACACCUGUAAUUUCAGCACUUUGAGCUGCCGAUGCACGAGGAUCGCUUGAGGCCAGGAGUUCAAGACCAGCCUGGGGCCAGGCGCAGUGGCUCACGCCUGUAAUCCUAGCACUUUAGGAGGCCGAGGCAGGAGGAUCACCUGAGGUCAGGAGUUCGGGACCAGCCUUGGCCAACAUGGUAAAACCUCGUCUCUACUAAAAACACAAAAAUUAGCUGGCAUGGUGGCACGUGCCUGUAAUCCCAGCUACUCAGAAGGCUGAGGCAGGGGAAUUGCUUGAACCCAGAGGUGGCAGUGAGCCAAGAUCACACCAUUGUGCUUCAGCCUGGGUGACAGAACGUGACUCCAUCUCAAAAAAAAAAAAAAAAAAAAAAAAAAAAAACCAGCCUGGGAGACAUAGUGAGGCCCCAUCUCUACCCCUGACCAUCCCCCCCAAAACCCAAAAAAACAAACUUAGCUGGCCAUGGUGCUGUGUGCCUGUAGUCCCAGCUA